GACGAACGCUGGCGGCGUGCUUAACACAUGCAAGUCGAACGAUGAAGCCGGAGCUUGCUCUGGUGAAUUAGUGGCGAACGGGUGAGUAACACGUGAGUAACCUGCCCUUGACUCUGGGAUAACUGCGGGAAACUGUAGCUAAUACCGGAUACGACCCUCGGAGGCAUCUCCUGGGGGUGGAAAGAAUUUCGGUCAAGGAUGGACUCGCGGCCUAUCAGCUAGUUGGUGAGGUAAAGGCUCACCAAGGCGACGACGGGUAGCCGGCCUGAGAGGGUGACCGGCCACCCUGGUACUGAGACACGGGGCAGACGCCUACGGGAGGCAGCAGGGGGGAAUAUUGCGCAAUGGGCGCAAGCCUGAUGCAGCAGCGCCGCGUGAGGGAUGACGGCCUUCGGGUUGUAAACCUCUUUUAGCAGGGAAGAAGCGAAAGUGACGGUACCUGCAGAAAAAGCACCGGCUAACUACGUGCCAGCAGCCGCCGUAA
rnacentral:rRNA from 1 species